rnacentral:tRNA from 1 species
GGGGCUGCGGCUCGGCUUGGGAGAGCGCAUGUUUGACAAUCAUGAGGCCGGGGGUUCGACCUCCCUCAUCCCCA